AACGAACGCUGGCGGCAUGCCUAACACAUGCAAGUCGAACGAAGCCUUCGGGCUUAGUGGCGCACGGGUGCGUAACACGUGGGAAUCUGCCCUUUGGUUCGGAAUAACAGUUAGAAAUGACUGCUAAUACCGGAUAAUGACGUAAGUCCAAAGAUUUAUCGCCGAAGGAUGAGCCCGCGUAGGAUUAGGUAGUUGGUGGGGUAAUGGCCCACCAAGCCGACGAUCCUUAGCUGGUCUGAGAGGAUGAUCAGCCACACUGGGACUGAGACACGGCCCAGACUCCUACGGGAGGCAGCAGUGGGGAAUAUUGGACAAUGGGCGAAAGCCUGAUCCAGCAAUGCCGCGUGAGUGAUGAAGGCCUUAGGGUUGUAAAGCUCUUUUACCUAGGGAUGAUAAUGACAGUACCUGGAGAAUAAGCUCCGGCUAACUCCGUG
rnacentral:rRNA from 1 species